rnacentral:rRNA from 1 species
GACGAACGCUGGCGGCGUGCUUAACACAUGCAAGUCGAACGGAAAGGCCCUGCUUUUGUGGGGUGCUCGAGUGGCGAACGGGUGAGUAACACGUGAGUAACCUACCCUUGACUUUGGGAUAACUUCAGGAAACUGGGGCUAAUACCGGAUAGGAGCUCCUGCUGCAUGGUGGGGGUUGGAAAGUUUCGGCGGUUGGGGAUGGACUCGCGGCUUAUCAGCUUGUUGGUGGGGUAGUGGCUUACCAAGGCUUUGACGGGUAGGCGGCCUGAGAGGGUGACCGGCCACAUUGGGCCUGAGAUACGGCCCAGACUCCUACGGGAGGCAGCAGUGGGGAAUAUUGCACAAUGGGCGGAAGCCUGAUGCAGCAACGCCGCGUGCGGGAUGACGGCCUUCGGGUUGUAAACCGCUUUCGCCUGUGACGAAGCGUGAGUGACGGUAAUGGGUAAAGAAGCACCGGCUAACUACGUG